rnacentral:rRNA from 1 species
AUUGAACGCUGGCGGCAUGCCUAACACAUGCAAGUCGAACGGUAACGCGGGGGCAACCCUGGCGACGAGUGGCGGACGGGUGAGUAAUACAUCGGAACGUGCCCAGUAGUGGGGGAUAGCCCGGCGAAAGCCGGAUUAAUACCGCAUACGACCUACGGGUGAAAGCGGGGGAUCGCAAGACCUCGCGCUAUUGGAGCGGCCGAUGUCAGAUUAGCUAGUUGGUGGGGUAAAAGCCUACCAAGGCGACGAUCUGUAGCUGGUCUGAGAGGACGACCAGCCACACUGGGACUGAGACACGGCCCAGACUCCUACGGGAGGCAGCAGUGGGGAAUUUUGGACAAUGGGGGCAACCCUGAUCCAGCCAUGCCGCGUGCGGGAAGAAGGCCU